rnacentral:rRNA from 1 species
CGGGAAAAGCUCAAAUUUAAAAUCUGGUGGUCUUUGGCCAUCCGAGUUGUAAUCUAGAGAAGUGUUAUCCGCGCUGGACCGUGUACAAGUCCCCUGGAAUGGGGCGUCAUAGAGGGUGAGAAUCCCGUCUUUGACACGGACUACCAGGGCUUUGUGAUGCACUCUCAAC